CCGAGGUUUAUUUUGCUGCUGCUGCUGCCUAAAAUUGAGUUUUUAUACACUUCCAACAAAUAAAGCAAGCUUCCUACUUCCCUGACAGCAAAGAGCAGUCUUCAGCUUGGGCCCCAUCUCCAGAGUCAAAAAUUUCUUUUGAGAUAUUUGUAACUUUCAACAGUUGCGUGAAAUAUACUCCUGCGAGCAAAUCUGAAGCGUAUUUCUUUCUGAUUUCUCCAGAAUUUGGAAACUAUUUCUACCUUUCCUGGCAUGGAAAUCAGCAUGUUUCCUGAGGAAAUAGGCCAAAGGCAAAACAGG